rnacentral:lncRNA from 1 species
GCUCGGUUCGGGACCUGCCGGAUCCGGACACCGACUCAGGCUCUGCCUCGGGGCCCACCGACCUGAGCUGCUAUCGGGUGGACAGCGAAAGUGUCUAUGAGUGCUCCUGGCGGUACGAGGGUCCCACAGACGGCGUCAGCCACUUCCUGUGGUGCCGCCGGCAGGAGGGGUGCUGCUGCUUCUUCCCCGCGGGCCGGGACACCAGGCUGCAGUUCUCGGACCAGGACGGGGU